UACGGAGGGGGCUAGCGUUGUUCGGAAUUACUGGGCGUAAAGCGCACGUAGGCGGCUUUGCAAGUCAGAGGUGAAAGCCCGGGGCUCAACCCCGGAAUUGCCUUUGAGACUGCAUCGCUAGAAUUGAGUGGAGAGGUAAGUGGAAUUCCGAGUGUAGAGGUAGUAAAUCGUAGAUAUUCGGAAGAACACCAGUGGCGAAGGCGACUUACUGGACACAUAUUGACGCUGAGGUGCGAAAGCGUGGGGAGCAAACAGG
rnacentral:rRNA from 1 species